AUUGAACGCUGGCGGCAUGCUUUACACAUGCAAGUCGAACGGUAACAGGUUAAGCUGACGAGUGGCGAACGGGUGAGUAAUGCAUCGGAACGUGCCCGAUCGUGGGGGAUAACGCAGCGAAAGCUGCGCUAAUACCGCAUACGAUCUGAGGAUGAAAGCGGGGGACCGUAAGGCCUCGCGCGAUCGGAGCGGCCGAUGUCAGAUUAGGUAGUUGGUGGGGUAAAGGCUCACCAAGCCAACGAUCUGUAGCUGGUCUGAGAGGACGACCAGCCACACUGGGACUGAGACACGGCCCAGACUCCUACGGGAGGCAGCAGUGGGGAAUUUUGGACAAUGGGCGAAAGCCUGGUCCAGCAAUGCCGCGUGCAGGAAGAAGGCCUUCGGGUUGUAAACUGCUUUUGUACGGAGCGAAAAGGCCCUCUCUAAUACAGGGGGUUUAUGACGGUACCGUAAGAAUAAGCACCGGCUAACUACGUGCCAGCCGCCGCGGUAA
rnacentral:rRNA from 1 species